AUCGAUUGAAACGUGUGUACUCAUUCCCUAACCUAAAUAAAUCAACCCCCUUGUCCCUGCUCAAAAGAAAUUGCCACUUUUCAAUUCAUCUCUUUUCCCUUCAUCAAUGAAACCCAAAGCAAACUAAUGUCCAAAAUUCUAACCCCGUGAACCUCGAAUACACCGUUCAGAUAUCAAAACGACGGUGUUUUACUCGUUUUCUUCUUCGUCGGCGUUGUCGUUUUCACGAGGGUUACGCAGAGAGGAAGAAAUGGAGCAAGCGGUUUUGGACGACAUAAUCAAUCGGCUCCUUGAAGUUCGCAGCCGUCCGGGGAAGCAGGUACAGUUGUCGGAGGCGGAGAUCCGUCAGCUUUGUGCUGUUGCUAGAGAGAUUUUCUUGCAGCAACCUAAUUUAUUGGAGCUUGAAGCUCCUAUUAAGAUUUGUGGUGACAUACAUGGUCAAUAUUCUGAUCUUCUAAGGCUUUUUGAGUAUGGUGGAUUGCCUCCCGAGGCCAACUACUUGUUUUUGGGUGAUUAUGUGGAUCGAGGGAAGCAAAGUUUAGAAACAAUAUGCCUUCUCCUAGCAUAUAAAAUAAAAUAUCCUGAGAAUUUUUUUCUUUUGAGGGGAAACCACGAAUGUGCUUCUAUUAACCGUAUAUAUGGAUUUUAUGAUGAGUGUAAAAGAAGGUUCAAUGUAAGGUUAUGGAAGGUGUUUACGGAUUGCUUCAAUUGCCUACCUGUGGCAGCUCUAAUUGAUGAAAAGAUAUUGUGCAUGCAUGGCGGACUUUCUCCUGACUUAAAUAAUUUGGAUCAGAUUAGAAACCUACAGCGGCCGACUGAUGUGCCUGAUACAGGUUUGCUUUGCGAUCUCCUGUGGUCAGACCCUAGCAAAGAUGUUCAAGGUUGGGGAAUGAAUGACAGGGGAGUGUCAUAUACAUUUGGUGCUGAUAAGGUCUCAGAGUUUCUACAGAAACAUGAUUUGGAUCUUAUUUGUCGGGCUCAUCAGGUGGUGGAGGAUGGAUAUGAAUUCUUUGCAAACCGGCAGCUUGUAACAAUAUUUUCAGCCCCUAACUACUGUGGGGAAUUUGACAAUGCUGGUGCUAUGAUGAGUGUUGAUGAGACACUAAUGUGCUCUUUCCAAAUAUUAAAGCCAGCUGAUAAGAAAUCAAAGCUCAACUUUGGAAGUACAACCACUACUAAACCAGGAAACUCUCCAGCAGGUGUAAAGGUAGGAAUAUAGUUUCAUAUUUGCCGAUGCAAUACAUGCACAAAAUCAGGAGAAACAUAUUUUAUGAUAAGAUAACAUUUGGGCAUUGAAUUUAGCAAUGGAAAAAGCUUACAUACAUGGAGAUUUUCUACUGAGAACUCUGAAGCAACCAAAGCCAUUGGAUGAAUCAAUUGUUUCGGAUGGUCCCACCUCCCACCAUAUAUACAGAUACCAGUUGCAUUCAUUUUUUUCUUUCAGUAUGAAGUGUUUCUGCUAAACAGCAGAGCUCUUGAGUAAUUUCAUUGCUAAUCGUUAAUCUAGUCCUUCCUUGGAACAAAAGUAUGAAGUUGAUUUUGGCGGAAAAAGGUUGCUGUCACACCUGGUCAGCAAAAAGUCUUGUUCCAUAUGAUAUUUUGGAAUUUGUAAAAACAACGAAACGCCAUCAUGAACUAUGUAGACCAUUGUUUUUCACUGGUACAAAUUUGCAUUUCGAGAUUAGACAACCCAUAAUCUCUUCCUUGUUUUCUUUGUACACUAGUAUCUGGUAUAUGUUCUGAGUUUUAAGCCUCUCAAGCUUUGAUAGACCUAUCUGCAUCUGCAUCUGUGUUGCUAAAAAACUAAUUGAAAAUGCUCAUACGAUUUGCAUUUGUGGGUGCAAGUUGAGAAUGGUGUAAAAUGAUGAGAUUAAUUGCUAAACAUUGACUUUUACACAUGCAUCCAAUCAAAUUACAUUA